GACGAACGCUGGCGGCGUGCUUAACACAUGCAAGUCGAACGGAAAGGCCCGCAUCAUUUUUUUGGUGGGGGUGCUCGAGUGGCGAACGGGUGAGUAACACGUGGGUGAUCUGCCCUGUACUUCGGGAUAAGCUUGGGAAACUGGGUCUAAUACCGGAUAGGACCAUGGUUUAGUGUCUCAUGGUGGAAAGAUUAUUGUUUUGGUGCAGGAUGAGCUCGCGGCCUAUCAGCUUGUUGGUGGGGUAAUGGCCUACCAAGGCGUCGACGGGUAGCCGGCCUGAGAGGGUGGACGGCCACAUUGGGACUGAGAUACGGCCCAGACUCCUACGGGAGGCAGCAGUGGGGAAUAUUGCACAAUGGGCGCAAGCCUGAUGCAGCGACGCCGCGUGGGGGAUGACGGCCUUCGGGUUGUAAACUCCUUUCGUUAGGGACGAAGCCGCACCUUUUUUUGGGUGUGGUGACGGUACCUUUGUUAAGAAGCACCGGCU
rnacentral:rRNA from 1 species